CGCUUCUCUACCUCAAGAAAGAAUUCACGAAACCUCUCUUAAGCCAGCUGCUCUGGGGCUGACCUCCUGCACAUCCUCUGAGGCAGGUGCCUGGGCUUUUCACCUGGACAACAGGGCGAGACUGGGGAGUCGCUUGCACCCAUUUUCAUAAAAUUAUGACCAAGAAAACAGCGGCUGCAAUCUGAUUGUUGCUGAUGUCUUAGAGAUCAUCCUCAGACUUACUGGACUAAACAGCCAUUCUCAACACCCGAUGAUACCCUCCAAGGGCCCAUUCCUCCUCCUUAAGAAAUGCCUGAAGUCAGACUCCCAUCACGGUAGCUGCCGGAGAUGCCUUCACCUCUGCUGCGGCCAGUCCUAAACCAGAAUCCCACAGGGAAAGGGUUCCAGGAGACCCGAUUGCCUGUUCUGGUUAAUACACCCCAAAAUCACCGCAACAACUUAACAAUGUACAUUGAAGUGUUAAAAAUGGUGCUGGGAAAACUGGCUAGCCA
rnacentral:lncRNA from 10 species